UACGUAGGGGGGCAAGCGUUGUCCGGAUUUAUUGGGCGUAAAGAGCGUGUAGGCGGCUAGAUAGGUCCGUUGUGAAAACUCGAGGCUCAACCUCGAGACGUCGAUGGAAACCAUCUGGCUAGAGUCCGGAAGAGGAGAGUGGAAAUUCCUGGUGUAGCGGUGAAAUGCGCAGAUAUCAGGAAGAACACCCCGUGGCGAAGGCGGCUCUCUGGUACGUGACUGACGCUGAGACGCGAAAGCGUGGGGAGCAAACAGG
rnacentral:rRNA from 1 species